UAUUUAUUAGAUAAAGAACCAAUGUUUUGGUGACUCAUAAUAACUUUACGGAUCACACUCGUUGUGACAUAUCAUUCAAGUUUCUGACCUAUCAGCUUUAGACGGUAGGGUAUUGGCCUACCGUGGCUAUGACGGGUAACGGGGAAUUAGGGUUCGAUUCCGGAGAGGGAGCCUGAGAAACGGCUACCACAUCUAAGGAAGGCAGCAGGCGCGCAAAUUACCCAAUCCUAAUACAGGGAGGUAGUGACAAGAAAUAACAAUACAGGACCUUACGGUUUUGUAAUUGGAAUGAGUUAAGUAUAAACCCCUUAACAAGUAUCAAUUGGAGGGCAAGUCUGGUGCCAGCAGCCGCGGUAAUUCCAGCUCCAAUAGCGUAUAUUAAAGUUGUUGCAGUUAAAAAGCUCGUAGUUGGAUUUCUGUUAAUGAUUGCAUGUGCUAUCAUCGAUACGCGUGCGGCGUUAGCAUCAUUCGCAUUACUUUUUUGGUAUGCGGAACUUUACUUUGAGAAAAUUAGAGUGCUUAAAGCAGGCUUUUGCCUUGAAUACUCCAGCAUGGAAUAAUAUGAAGGAUUUUUAUCUUUCUUAUUGGUUCUAAGAUAAAAAUAAUGGUUAAUAGGGACAGUUGGGGGCAUUUGUAUUUAACAGUCAGAGGUGAAAUUCUUAGAUUUGUUAAAGACAAACUAGUGCGAAAGCAUUUGCCAAGGAUGUUCUCAUUAAUCAAGAACGAAAGUUAGGGGAUCGAAGACGAUCAGAUACCGUCGUAGUCUUAACCAUAAACUAUGCCAACUAGAGAUUGGAGGUUGUUCCUUACUCCUU
rnacentral:rRNA from 1 species